rnacentral:sRNA from 1 species
GUGUACGAGUGGUACAUGCCGAUUCCGAGCACCGGCCGCGCCCGCCUGACGGCUGCGCAUUAGGUUUGUUGGCU